rnacentral:sRNA from 1 species
GCGCACACAUACUUCUGCCUCAUUCCUCUACUGAAACGAACUAAUUCCCAAAGAAAUUCUUUUCUUGAAUGGAUCUUUACAGAAAACUAGGUCAGUGGAAGAAGUGCUGACGACUGAAGAGAUUUGCCUUCAAAGAACUGAAGAAAGCCUUGGACCACCGAGGAGUGCACUUGAGAAAUGGCCCAGCCCCUGCUAGCUUACACAUCUGCUUGGGCCUCACAUCCAACCCCAGGGAAUUAAGAGCCCACUUCAAACAAGAUUUUUCUCUGUGUAACUUCAGCGUUUAAAGUCUCCAUAAAGGACGAUAAAUCUGUCUUCCACCCCCUACCUUUAAUCCCAAAUGCCUUCUACUACACAUCAGUAGAUAACUAGAAUACUGGACAAUUAACAUCCUCAUCCUCCUAUCAUUCACUAGAUGUGCAGAGGGUGAACUUUCCAAACCCGAUGUUGUCUGAGGAACAAUAGACCUAAAUAAACUCCUUCACGCUUGGCUUUCUGACAGUUACUAAUGGAAAGGGGGCAAAUCCACUAUUAACUAAAAUAUUUAACUACAAAAACCUCUUCUCUUCAGACUCUAAAGUUGUAAGGAGACCAGUUUGGCAAGUAACAACCUAAAGGGCUUCAUCUGCUUGUGAGGUAUCAAAGGGAGCCUCCCAAUGGCAUGUGCUUGGAUGUACAAUCCUGAUCCAAAAGGAAGCCGGUAGCCUGGGCAACAGCACUCUGCUAGACGAGUCAGCCAUGGAUGGUGAAAGAGCAAGCAACAGACCAAGAAGAGAGAAAGCGUCUGAGUCUCCAUUGCUAGGUGUUUAUGUGAAAUGCAGUAAUAUGAUCUUCCCUGCAAGAGCCACAGAAAUCCCAUAAUGCAAUGCACUGCCUACCAUUCCGGUGUCCCUGCUCCCCGCCCUCAGAAGAUCAUUGUGAUAGCUUGGAUGAGAAAUGUCCCCCUACAAGCUCCAGUGUUUGAAUACUUUGUCCCAGUUGGUUGCAAUGUUUAGGGAGGAGGCACAGUUUUGCUGAAGGAAGUACGUUACUGGGGGGGUAGGCUUUCAUAGCCUUGCCCCACUUUGAGUUUGCACCCUUCACUUCCUGCCUGUGGAUGGAGUUACGAGCUCUCAGCUUCCGGCAGCCAUUUUGAACUCUCCCUCUGGAACUGUAAACCGCAACAAACUCUUCUUCUAGAAGUUGCUUCUGGCCAUGGCGCUUCGUCAGAACAACAGAGAAGUAACUGGUACCAUUAUGACAAAAAGUGCACUCAACUAAGAACUUUUGAAAACAAACAGGAAGAAACCUGGGUCCAGUGAGGACACUCGAUAAGCUGACGGCCACCCAGUGCCUCAGCACAGAGCCAGAAAAGCCAGGCCUGCAAACUGGGUCUGGUGAAGGCUAAUGACCAUGCCGAUUCCCACCAGGUUGGACAAAAGUGGACCCGUAUAACAGACGCAGGGCUGACGAGGACCAAGUGAUGCCUGUCUCUCACUAAUUCACGCAUUCUUUGUAUCGUUCCUCAUUUAAUCUCCACAAUGGAAACACAGUGCCCAUCAGACUACUAUCCACUCUUCGAAGACUGAAGCAGGAAGUAAACGUGUCUCGGGUCACGAGUUAAAGAGAAGCAUUCCUUGCUGUAAGAGAGGCACCAUCUCCAUGCCAUUGAUCCUUCACGUUUUCUGAAGUUCAUGCUCCUUCCACAUCUCCCUAUGGUUACAGCGGCCAGCACACUUGCUGGUAAAUUUUACUGUAACUUACUCUAAGGGUGUACAUAGUAUUCCAACGUAGCGUCCCCUCACAGUCUUACUGCCUUUGUGAUUCCUGCUAGAUACAACCACCGGGGAAUCUAAACUGAAGUAAAUUACCCUGAGGA